rnacentral:tRNA from 1 species
GCCCCUAUAGUUUAACGGAUAGAAUGCUGGCCUCCGAAGCCGGUGAUCUGCGUUCGAAUCGCAGUAGGGGCG